AGGGCUGUAGCUCAGUAGUAGAGCAUCUGCUUUGCAUGCAGUUGGUCCCAUGUUCAAUCCUGGGGUGUUAUA